rnacentral:rRNA from 1 species
GUGUCAGCAGCCGCGGUAAUACGGAGGGUGCAAGCGUUAUCCGGAUUCACUGGGUUUAAAGGGUGCGUAGGAGGGCAGGUAAGUCAGUGGUGAAAUCUCCAAGCUUAACUUGGAAACUGCCGUUGAUACUAUCUGUCUUGAAUAUUGUGGAGGUGAGCGGAAUAUGUCAUGUAGCGGUGAAAUGCUUAGAUAUGACAUAGAACACCAAUUGCGAAGGCAGCUCGCUACUCAAUUAUUGACUCUGAGGCACGAAAGCGUGGGGAUCAAACAGGAUUAGAUACCCUGGUAGUCC